AUGAAAAAAGUCAUCUUAACUAAAUUCAAGCAGAAACUCACGUCCAACCUGAAUGAACAUUUCUUUGCACUUUGCUAGUUAAAAUAAAAGACAGGAAAACACAGCCAGAUUCAAAUCGAAUUAACUCAAUGUAAAUGAUAGGAGCGCAUCCUUGUGUCGCACCCUCUUUGAACUAUCCGCUGCCCGACGAACAAAAUAACACUCCCUGUAACAAUAAAUCCAUAGCACUUACAGUACAAUAAAAUAUAUAAAAAUGAAUAGAUCUUUGUGAACUCUAAAAAAUUCUAAGAUGACAAUUUAAUUCACACAGUAACAUUAAUUUAGCUGAUUCACGUUUUCAUCUGUCUUCAACCCUCUCCUGGCGUCGGGGACCAUGGAACGCCAGCCAGUCAGGAGUAUAGUAUCAAAGAAGAAGACCCCGUAUGUAGUCUAACAUAAACGUUAGACGAAGACAAAUAUUAUUCUUUACCAUAUAUUUGUAUUUAAAUGACAAAAUAUUGUUAAAUAGGAAUUAAUAAUUUAAGUUGUUUUUGCUAGCUACUGUAACAUUACUUAUUUACUUACAUCAGCCUGCCUAGUCAGCUAGCUAGCUAGCCAGACAUUUUUGUUUAGCUAACAUUAGCAAGCUCGCUAACGUUAACUGUUUUUGUAGUUUUUUUUCCAUCUAGGUAGUUGGUCAUCUAGAAGUUGCUAGUUAUACAUUUAGUUAUAUUUGCUAGUUAUACAUUUAGUUAUAUGUCUGUCACAUUGAGGUAUCUAGCUAUAUGUUAACCCUGAUCAAUCAAAUGCAUAGGUGUACGCAAUUAUGGUCUUUCCAACUGCCCUCAACUAGGUCCUUUGCUAGACAGACACACAGACAGAGAGGAUGUACUACAGCUUUGUGGACAGCUGGGCAUGUGAAAUAACCUUUUGUUUAUCGAUCACAUUCUAUUAUAUCUCAAAUUAUUAUGAUUUCAAUUAAUGUCAUAUCAGAGAGAACACAAUGUUUCAAUUUGUCAACUUAAAGGUCUGUACCUGUCUAGUCUGACAGAAUUUUAAGAGGGUGAAGACUGACGUAGGAGUUGAAGCCCAUCAGUUAUUUCACAUGAUCUGGGUGGACCUCAUCGGACCCUUCACGAAAUCCAGGAAUGGCAACAGCUGGUGUAUGACGGCGACCGAUUAUUUUACCAAGUGGGUGGAGGCAAUACCCAUUAAGGUUUGGAAGAACGGACCAACCACACCCUCAAGACUGCCACAGGCAAGUCCCUUAAUAGGUUCCAGGAAUGGUGGGAGGACAACCUGAAGGUCAUUCUCUUUGCACACAACAGCAGCAUCCAGGCCUCCAGAGUACUCACCCUAUAUCCUGCUGUAUGGAUGGGAGCUACAGCUGUUGACUGAGGUAAAUAAUGCAAUUGUAUAUACAAUCAUUGGAUCAAAUUUGUGAUUGAUUUAGUGUUGUUUGUCUGUUGCUAUUUUUGUUUAUCCUCUUAAGGAUCACACCCUUUCUUUCAAUUUCCGCCUAAAAUGACAUACCCAAAUCAGGAUCCGAAGCAAGGUUAUGCAUAUUCUUGAUACUAUUUGGAAGGAAACA